AGGUGGAGCCAACCCUCGCGAGCACUGGAGCGAACCGGCAUCCGGGACCCCUUUUUUCCUCUGCGGUGCACGCUGGGGCAUGUAGUUCUUCACCGGCGGGAGGCGCCCUGGCGGUUGGGAAAGCUGGUCUCGGAGAACUACAAUACCCUGGGGGCGACCUCGCCCGCCCCUUCGCAGUGCAUUCUGGGGAGUGUGGUUUGCAGUGUCGCUGAGGCUCUCGGCGGGCGGACGUCUCGCCCGAGAAACUACCAACCUGGAAGGAAGCGGCCGUUUAGUUUCAUCAGGCCGAGACUGGGGAAGAAACUGUUUAAUGGACUCUUCGCAACCGUAGUUCUCUGGAGGGGCCUCGCUGCUGCCAGGCUGCUUUUCCUGAACACAGUGCAAGCACAUGGAGGUAGCCGGAGGCCCCUAGCAAUGGAUAAAUUCGUCAUUCGAACGCCUAGACUCCAGAGUAGUCCUCAGAAGAAAGGUCCUGGAGGCAAGAUUUACAAGCAGGCCACAAUCGAAUCUCUGAAGAGAGUUGUGGUUGUAGAAGACAUAAAAAGAUGGAAAACUAUGUUGGAGCUUCCUAAUCAAACCAAAGAGAAUCUAGUUGAAGCCUUACGAGAAUUAAAGAAGAAAAUACCCUCCAAGGAAGUGUUAAAAUCAACAAGGAUAGGUCACACGGUGAAUAAGAUGCGUCAACACUCAGAUUCAGAAGUGGCUUGUCUUGCCAAAGAAGUUUACACUGAGUGGAGAACUUUCAUUGAGAAACAUGCAGAUAGACCUUCUAUUGAAGUCCGAAGUGAUUCCAAAACCGAGGCACUUAGGAAAAACGCCCAGAAAUUACUUGCAGAAGCGUUGGAAUUAGAGAUGGAUCACCUACUGGUUGAAAAUAUUGAGCGGGAAACGUUUCAUCUCUGCUCCCGCCUCAUUAAUGGGCCCUACCGGCGGACGGUGAGAGCCCUGGUCUUCACAUUAAAGCACCAAGCUGAAAUCCGGGCUCAGGUGAAGAACGGCUCGCUGCCAGUCGGCACGUUUGUACAGACCCACAAAAAAUGACCUGAGGACGGUUCUAACCCUGGGCUGGGCAGAAAAGAAAAUGUGUCCCUUUCUGCCAUUCAAAGACUCUUUUGAGUUUGGGUGAUGGCUGGUGCUGGCUGCGCUAAAUUUUCCCAUGGUGCCAUUCCUUCAGACAGAGGCUGCAGGGAGCCCUGGGAGACAGGCUGCAGGAAAUGCUUCAUUAGCUGUAGUGCGCUGGUGCAGCCUAACAGGACAUGCACAGGCUGUCCCUAGGAAGCACUGUAUGGUUGACACCACCCAACACAGCAAAGGGUGACGGAUUUUGGAUUUCGCUGUGAGUAUGCCAAGGACACCUCUAAACUUCCCCCACGUCAGGCAGAUGAAGUUACUACUUUAUUUCGCCACCCUGCAGGUAACUGAAACUCAAUUACUGCUGCCGCUCACACAGUUCCAUCCCCCUGAGUUUAGAUGGCUCUGGUGCCUCUCAGAACUCCCCUGUCUGUUCUCUUUGCUCUACCCCAGGGGUGAGCCUGCCCGAGCCAGCCUACUACCCCUUCUUUCCAGAACUCACUUAUCUGAAUGCGUCAGCUCCCCCUGGAAGACCUUCUGUGUUGGUCUCCGGAGCCCCCAUGCUGAGGCUCCUAAUGAAGAACUGGCCUGCAGCAUCCCCACACUCGGGCUUAUUUGAAUAUGUGACAUUCUCAUUUUAAAGUUCUGUAGAAGAUACAUAAUGAAAUUCCUCUUGAAAUGAAUUACUGUAGUGAAAAAUUCUAUACAUAUAUUUUUAAAAUAAAAUACCUCUACAUAGGCCUAUUGGAACAAUUAUGUAAAUGAUAUUUGCUUUUUUAUAAGUAAUAAUAAACUGGGACUUUCCCCCCGCCUAAAACAAAAGAUAUGGCUUGUUCAUUGAAAAGUAUUUUGGGUUGAGAAAAAGUAUAGUUGGUGAAGAUGAAAAAUUAUUGCAAAGAAUUUGGAGAGAUGGUAAGACCCAAGAAAGGUUUUUUGAGGUUAAGGGAGACUGGAGCAUGUAUGUAAUCUGAAAAGGAGCUAAUAAAAAAGGAGAGAUUAAAAAUACAAAAAAUAUGGGAUGGGUUAAAAAGGACAGAAAGGAAGGGAUUAACAUUGCCUGUUUAAUCCUCACAUCUGUUGUGUUAGUAGAUAUUGUUUCAGUUUUUUUAUAUUUCUUCAUUUAUUCAGCAAUCAUUUAUUGAGCACCCAUUCCACGGAGUACUGUGGAUACCUAGCAGGAACUGCAGAUGAGACCCUGAGGCUCACCAAGCAAAGAUUUUUCUCCCGUGUCUGAAAUCCACCCUGAGGCCUGGCAUCCAAGGCCUCGCCUUACCAGGCAUCUGCUGACCUCUUUGGCCUCAUUCUUGUCCCUCUCAUCAGCCACACUGACGUCCUCAUCACUGCCAUGAAUGAAAAUGCUUCCAGAAUAGCUCCCUCCUCUACAUGAGGCCCUGUGACAGGCCCCAGGCCACUGACAUGAACCAGGGCAUACCCUUCAUGGGAGCAGAAACCUUGUCUGUGUCCUCUGCCUCUGCAGCGCCCAGGGCAGGGCUUGGCCCUGGAAGGGCCCUAUACUAGGUGCUGAACGAAUGUGCGUGUGAACGAACAAAUGGCUCCGCCUCCACACCUACAGGCUGGCCCAUGAGAACCACGCGGUCAAGCAGCAUGGUCUACACUGCUAGGAAAAGCUAAUCCCAAGUGUGUGGAUGACAGAUGGUGUGGAGUCCUGAGCGGAAGUGCGGUUUUUAUUAGUCUGAGUUGCUUUUGCUUGAAAUAGGAUUAGCAUAAAAACCAUCCCAGGCAAGUGGAUAAGGUAAAGCUCUGUUAGUUACAUUCAGAUUUUGUUUUCCUGCCACAAUCCAGAACCAUCCUUUUGCUGGGUUAGUCCAGUUCAUGGCUAAGGGUGCUGCUCAGAAAGGUUAAAUGGGAUGGGCGUGGGCAGGUCACACACAAAAUCCUCAGUUCCCCGUUCUUCCCCUCCAGUCCCCUCUCCGAAUUGACCUCCAGAGUGACCUCUUUAACCCAUAAAAUCCAACCUUACCACACCAGACAUAAAGCCUUUUAGUGGCCACCAUUGUCCCAGGAUAAAGCCCCAAUGCCCAGAUGGGCUGCCCCUAAAGCUCAGGCGUGUUCUCACCCCGGCUACCCUGCCUCCCACAAGGAGGGAGAACUGGAGAGAAGCGUAUGUUGGGCAGUCGGCUAGAGCUGCUCACUGACAGGCUUUGCUUCACAUACCUGUCUUGCAGCAAAGAAUUCAAACUUGGGCCUCAGUAAAAUGACAAAUUAUGGCCAGUCACUGACCCUCGAGGCUAUUGACAAAUCAUCAAGACCCAAAUAUUCCGAUCCUGCAUCCCUCUAGUCCUCAGUUCUUGCAGUUUCCUGCCUUUUUGCACCUUCAUGUCCUUGGUGUGCCCUUCGGAGGUGUCGCCUCUGACAAGCUGCUCAGUAAAUACGUUGAUGUGAGAUGGAAUAGCAAGGACAUGGCUGGGCAGGUUAUGUCAGCUCUGCCCCUUUGGCACACAUGGCUGGUGGGUCAUGUCACCUCUCUGUGCCUCGGUGUCUUCAGCUGUAAGAUAGGAGUAAUUACAUCUAACUGAAAAGGUCUGAGGAUCCUCAAGUGAGGUCAUGGAGGCCAAAUGACAAGUAGAAUGCCCCAUGCAAAUGGCAUGAUUUCCAGUAACAGUAAAAGCUGGAGUGAAUCUGAUCACCUCUAUGGAAAAACAGCUGACUAAAUUCACACCUACUGACUGCUCACUUCUUUCUGUCUAAUCCACAACCUGCCUUGGUCAAGUCUUUCACGUCUUACCAAAUCCCUUUGUUGCCUUACUAGUCCUCACCCAAGCCCAAGAGGUGGGAUUGGGCAGGAAUUGCCACCCCUGCUUUAUGGAUGAGGAAACUGAGGUUCUAAGGGGGAAGUGCCUGGUCCAAGGUCACAGCUAGAGAGAGGCGGUGUGGUCCUCAUACCUGGCCUGUCACGGCCCUGCCCUAGCCCACAGGAUAGAGCCUGUCCUCCUUAGCCUGGCACUUGAGGCUCCCCAGGAUUUGGCCUUGCCUCCUUCCCCACAUCAUCUCAGCACACUCCCCUUUGUGCUUCAGCCUCCCGAGUGUAUCAUCAUUCCUCGAAUAUGCAAUGACGUUUCUCAGCCCCUUGUCUUUGCUCCCCAUGUUCCCUCUGCCAAGCUGCCUGGAGCACUCCUGUCCAUCCUCCAUCAACUCCUCCUAUAGUCACCGUGACAGAUUUCUGACACAUAGUUAUUGAUGUUUUCCUUGCUGCCUUAUUGAUCAGUUUGCAGAGUAAUUCAGUGCUCAGGCUCUGGAGCACUGAAUUUAAACCCAAAUGACCUGGGUUUAAAUCCUGGCUCAGCCACUUACUAGCUGAGUGAUCCUGAGCAGGUUACUUAACCUCUCUGUGCCAUGAUAUGCUCUCAACUAUAUCAUGAGGUGCCUACCUCCUAGAAUUGUUUUGAGUAAAUAAUACAUAUAAAACAAUAAUCAUAGGUUCUGGCCCAGAAUAAGCACUCCAUAUUAGCUUUCACUUUCUCUUGUUUGUAUACAGUGUUUCUACCCUCUCCCCUGCCACUCAGACUCGGCGUUUGGCCUCAGAAUCCAGGGGAGGAGAGAGGCAUGCCCACACUCCAAGGCACUGCAUUCAUUCUGACAUGUCACUGUUUUGCAUAAGUCCUCCUGUGUCCCUGUUCAUGGGGUCCAAGGAGCAAGCCCCAUUCUGUAAUCACUCCUUUCUGCCCCCAGAGGUGGCCUGAGUCCUCACGCCCCUCACUCUGUUGAGUGUCUCCUCGAUGGCUUUGUCAGCUGCCCCUUCACUCCACGUCCACCCCAGAGACAGGCUGCUCCCAGAGCACCAGGAAGAGCCGGCUGCAGUGCAAUUUAUCUCACUGGGCUGCUUCCCCAGCUGAGAUUCAGGCUGUGCCUGUCACAGUGACCCUGCAGCUCAGUUACAGAUCUGCUUCCAGGCUAGACUGAGCCAGGAACCUGCCUGGAUUUGCCAAGCAGCCCCGAGAGAGCCACAGGCCUUGUCAAACCCGGGACCUUGGCACGGGGCCCAUCCAGCUGCCCUGCUUGUCACACAUGAGGAAACUGAGGCCAGAGGUGGGGAGAUACCUUCAAAGUUCCCACCAGGGAAAGUGUGUCCAGUGUGAAGUCUAAUGCGGGCCUCUGCUUACCAUCGAGGGAGCUUAUUUUACUGUACAUGAAUGUAUGACUUCAUUAUUACCCCAAUAGCUUUCUUUUUAUAUAACUAUUUGCUAUGGAAACAUGGCUUUGAAACUUAAACCUAAAGCAAUACAUUGCACGUCCAUAAGC